CCAGUCCUACGGGACGCAGCAGUGAGGAAUAUUGGUCAAUGGGCGGGAGCCUGAACCAGCCAAGUCGCGUGAGGGAAGACGGUCCUAUGGAUUGUAAACCUCUUUUGUCGGGGAGCAAAGAGGACACGUGUGGUCAAAAGCGAGAGUACCCGAAGAAAAAGCAUCGGCUAACUCCGUGCCAGCACCCGCGGUAAUACGGAGGAUGCGAGCGUUAUCAGGAUUUAUUGGGUUUAAAGGGGGCGUAGGCGGGACGGUAAGUCAGCGGUAAAAAUGCGGAGCUCAACUCCGUCGAGCCGUUGAAACUG
rnacentral:rRNA from 1 species